CACGCAGAAAUAUUCAUUGGUUUAGGCGAGGCUUAAUGAAUAAUUUGCGUGUGUUGUUUAAUGCAAUUUCAAGUACCGCACUGUAAACCGAAUCGAUGCAUUCAAACAUGAAUACUCGUGCUAUGGGUGUUAGCGUCGUUGAAUAUAUUUUUGCCUAUAUAUUUCGGCCAUUGAUGAACACGGAGUUGAAUUUGUUCAACAAUGAUAAAGGAAAAGGGCAUGUAAGCAUCCAUGGAAAUUUCGCGUUUUUGAAGGUGUGUCAUGAAACUGCAAACACAAGUAUAGUUUCCGAAAAAAUAGUCUGUGAUCAACCUGCCAGCGGCAAUAUCUCAGCGCUCAAAACAGGAGAUGGUAGGGAAUGUAAAGAUUUGACGAAUGAAACAAUAUUUGUGGCGAUACACGGGGCUAAUAAUGUCAUAUUCAUUCUGGCCUGCCUACACGUGUUUAUAUUGACAGUCAGGGUACGAAAGAAAACACACAUAGAUGACAUGACUCUCGCUCAGCACGCAGCACUCAGUUGUUUUGUUUUUUUUGGAGAUUUUAAUGUUCAUUUGCUACAUAAUGUUUGCAACGAGGGUUCACCGAGCUGUAUGUUUGUCCGCAACAGAUUUUACGGCGUACUUCAAAGUCAUGGUCGUCUUUACCGGGUGUGCCUUUAACUUGAUGUUAAUCACGUUCAUAAUCUCAGUGAAAAAUUUGGGAGAGCAGUAUGGAAGACGCCGACGCUGAUAAGUGCAUAAAUGCGUAAUAAUCAGACGCUCGUCACAACAUGUUUAAACGAGUUGUAUAUUACGAAAAGAUCUUUUCAAAACUGAUUUUGAUGUUCAGCGGUAAUUUUUACGGAUGCUUAUGGACAGUGUUUAAUGACUUUUGCAAAUUUCACUACUUUCAUUUGCUCCGUUACAACAGACAUAAUAUUUAUGAAGUUAUAUAAGUAUUUAUUUCAGUGUUAAUUCAUUCACCGUUCGCUCAUUGAACACGGAAGUUAAAUGGUGUUUCAUUUUUUUUUCAAUGUUAUAAGCAUUAUUACUAUUCACAUUUGGUUUUCCAACUUGGCUAUAAUUAACCUAAGCAUGAGCUCAGCAUUUUGGUAUAAUGUAAAUAUAUAAAUUUGCCUGUAUUUGUUUUCAAGUGUAGCGACAAUAACAUAAAAUAAUCCAAAAGAAAAACAUCAUCCAUUUAUAUGGCGUCUAAAUUGGAAUUUAUCAUUUCAAAACAACAUGAUAUGCUUUUUAAUUUGUAAACAAAUAUUAUCCAUAAGUGUAUAGUAUAUGAAAAGAAUUCGCAAAGACUAUACAAAACUGUUACUCGUUUGUAUUUAUUUCUGUUUGUGUUGCACGUAUCGAAUUAUGUGCAAUGCAUAGCAUUUUUACCUCAUCAAGAGGUAUAUAAAAUUGAAAGAACAAUACUAUAUAAUCCCAUAAGCAUUAAAAUGAAGGUAAUUUAUUUUUUGAAAUAUUAGACAUAUAUCGACAUGUUUUUCCCAAAGAUUUUGUUAGGAACAUGGGCAACGACCCGCAGUUGGCAAUGGAUUCGUUAUUUCUUUCUAAUUUUACAUGUGCAAUAGUUAACUUCUACAUUAGUUUAUAGCCAAACACCAGGACAAAAUUCAGAUACAGUGGAACCCUUGUGUUUAAAGGAUGUGGGGAAGGACUGAAAGGUGUUCGGAAAAAAGCAAUAUAAUUAAUACCAUUUAGAAACCUAAUACGUCAUUUUACUAUUUACAUUUGUAAGGAAAAGAUAUAAGUGCGGAAAUAUACGUUUAUCUCACAUGCAGAAACAUAUCUUCUUUGACAAGUGUAUCAUAAGUAAUAUUCUAUUAACAUUUACUUUGUAAAAUGUAUUAUUUUGUAUAACAUAUCAUGUUUUAACUAAACCACACAGCUUUAUACGAGGACCGUGCAUGCUAAUGCUUAAUGGACAAUAUAAAGUAUGAUACAAUUACAAUGGGAAGCUAAAUAACGCGCAGAUAUAAACUUGACGUUUAGCUACAUACAUGUCUUCAUAAAUAACAUAUUGUACGUUAAACAGUGUAUUAUUUUCUGACAUAAUUUCGGCUUCGACAUUCGACCUUGAUCGAUAAUACAUUGUAAUUCCGUUCUACUUUACAAUGCUUAACUAAACUGAUUGUCAACUUAUGACGUGACAUGUAUGUUAUGAACUUAAUUUGAUUUAGUUGACGAGUAUUGUUUUGUUUUGUUACUGUCUUGGCAAAAAGAUAACUUCACAAUCUUUGUUAUGUCUGCUUAUUAAAUUGUGAUCGUCCAAGGGACUCAAGCUCCCCUCUCAGACUUCGCCCCUUGACCACCAGGUCACUUGGAUGGUUGGUUUGGUGUGCACGUGUUUAGACCAAUGUUCAUUGAUGAGACUGACAAGAAAAUACAAUGUGAACACAAAUCGCUCAUAUUGAUACACAAGGUAUGAAAAGCACUAUAUGAAAAAUGUUGGAACUACAAAAUCAACUGUUGUUUUCUAUGUAACACACAAACUCCUGUAUGUCACCUUCUAAAUGCAACGUAUAAAAGAAACCCUAUUCGAUAAGUUCCCCACUUCAUUCAAAAGAACACAUAAUUAGCUUUUUCCUAUAAUUUGUUCAUAUUGAUAUACUUUUGAAAUGCUUCAUAUGAGUGUUCGUUUGAUCUUAGGAAUUGGUGUUGGACACAUUAUGUUGCGUACGAUAAUUAUGAAAAACCUUCUACAUGUACAUUGUCGCGGAUUUUUUUUUCCAAACAUAUUUGUCGAUCGUAGUUCUAGCCGUCAUUAUUUUUUGUUUGAAGACAAUCGCUCGUUUUAAACCUCAAAACAGAAGUGGCGCUUUAAAAACAUAAAUAAUUUUCCUGGCCAUGCUAGAAAUAACACCGUUGCUGCUAUAAAUUCUUUUGUUUAUAACUUUCAGGUUAAUAAAGCUUUUUUGUCAUUCAAAUCAUUGUUACAUAAGACAGACGCGAAGCAGUCAAAUGUAUUACCGGUUUUCAUUGUGUCUGUAUAUACCUAUUUUAGGUAUAAACGUGAAACAUUUCACGGCUGUAAAAUCCAGUUGUAAAUG